rnacentral:tRNA from 1 species
GGAGGGUGUAGCUCAGUGGUAGAGCACGUGCCUAGUAUGCACGAGGUCCUGGGUUCAAUCCCCAACACCUCCA